rnacentral:misc_RNA from 1 species
UCACGCCUUGCGGCGGCAGUUUCACUAGAGUUCCCAGCAUUACCUGAUGGCAACUAGUGAUAGGGGUUGCGCUCGUUAUAGGACUUAACCUGACACCUCACGGCACGAGCUGACGACAACCAUGCAGCGCCUUGUAAAUUGUCUUGCGAAAGAUCUGUUUCCAAACCGGUCAAUCUACAUUUAAGCCUUGGUAAGGUUCCUCGCGUAUCAUCGAAUUAAACCACAUGCUCCACCGCUUGUGCGGGCCCCCGCCAAUUCCUUUGAGUUUCAACCUUGCGGUCGUACUUCCCAGGUGGGAUACUUAAUGCUUUCGCUCAGACACUUAUCGUGUAUCACAAAUGUCGAGUAUCCAUCGUUUACAGCCAGGACUAC